CCUACGGGAGGCAGCAGUGAGGAAUAUUGGUCAAUGGACGAGAGUCUGAACCAGCCAAGUAGCGUGAAGGUUGACUGCCCUAUGGGUUGUAAACUUCUUUUAUAUGGGAAUAAAAUGUUCCACGUGUGGGAUUUUGUAUGUACCAUAUGAAUAAGGAUCGGCUAACUCCGUGCCAGCAGCCGCGGUAAUACGGAGGAUCCGAGCGUUAUCCGGAUUUAUUGGGUUUAAAGGGAGCGUAGGUGGAUUGUUAAGUCAGUUGUGAAAGUUUGGGGCUCAACCGUAACAUUGCAGUUGAAACUGGCAGUCUUGAGUACAGUAGAGGUGGGCGGAAUUCGUGGUGUAGCGGUGAAAUGCUUAGAUAUCACGAAGAACUCCGAGUGCGAAGGCAGCUCGCUGGACUGCAACUGACACUGAGGCUCGAAAGUGUGGGUAUCAAACAGGAUUAGAUACCCGAGUAGUC
rnacentral:rRNA from 1 species